AAAUGAAUUUUGUUCCAUUAGAUUCACGAAUGUUUCGAUGAAAAAGGCAAGGAUCUAGGAAACCCAGACAGACAAGAUAUAUCAACAAUGGAAGAAACUGCCAAAUAUUGUAUGUUUCAGGCAUAAAUCAUAUAUCAAAAUUACUCUGGUGUGAUUAUAAUGUCGCACAUUCGUACAAUUGUACUUUUUGUAUCCGAACAAUUAAAGAAUUAAAUUAAAUAUGAAGCAUUAAA